GGCUACGUAGCUCAGUUUUGGUUAGAGCGCGGCACUCAUAAUGCUGAGGUCACAGGUUCGAUCCCUGUCGUAGCUA
rnacentral:tRNA from 1 species